CGCAGUUGAGUUCUUGUUUGGAAAAGUAGCGUUCUCUUUUUUGCACAGCUGUUAGCUCCUCUCGUUAGCCGUCACUUUGUUCUGUUCUUCUGAGCAGAGCAUACGUUCCUACAGAAUCUUCACAGCUCCAAGAGGAAUUGGUGCACUCAAUUAUGGAGGCUGGAAAGUCCUACAAUGUGCAGUUUGCAAGUUGGACAUCCUGGAAAGCCGAUGGUGUCAUUCAGUCUGAGUCUGAAGGCCUGAGAACCAGGGGAGCUGAUGGUGUAAAUCCAGUCUAAAUACAGGAGAAGAAUGACGUACCAGCUGUGCAGUCAGCCUCUUCAUGGACCAGCUCCUGAAGUAUCAGAAGUCCCGAAAAGCCCAGCCAUCUGCUUCCUCAUUGGUGUUAUACCCAAGAACAACCCAACAAGCUUCUGGAUCCUAGAGUCGCUGUCCUCACUGUUCAUACAUAACCACCUCUUCCUGAUUCUCUUUGAAGAUUGCUGAGGGUCAAGCUUGAACUUGGUAUGUACAGUAUACAGUGUUUUGAUUCAGUUUGAUUGACUGUCCUCCAAGAUGGUUUUAAUAUUUAUAUCUCCAUCAUAUCUCUGCAUUGUACCAACACUGGUUAUUAACAUUUAUAA